CUGCCGCAGUUCACCAGCCCCGAGCUGGAGGAGCCCUACAGCAGCGAGGAGGAGCAGCAGCGGCUCUUCGACCUGUACCAUUACCUGCACGGCCGCGUGCACAGCCCGCAGCGGCCCCUGCGCCUGCUCUACCACGUGGCCGAGAAGGAAACGCUCCUGGCCUGGGUGACCAGCAAGUUCGAGCUGUACAGCUGCUUCAGCCCGCUGGUGACCAAGGCGGGCGCCAUCGCCGUGCUGACCAAGCUGCUGCGCUGGCUCAAGAAGGAGGAGGACUGGCUCUUCAUCCGCUACCCGGCCCCGUUCUGCGCCGCGCCCGCGCGACCCGAGGCGCCCGAAACCGAGGGCUGACAAUAAACGCUGAGAGCCCGGCCAGACUCACGAGUCCCGGGGGGAAAAGGGGGGAAAAAGG